AGCUCGAUAGCGCAAUGGUAGUGCAUCCGCGUCCACUUUCUCCGUCUAUCAAUUUUCAGAUAAUGGGUGACGGGAAGAUCUCGGUUCGAAUCCAAGUCGAGCUA